UUAGAUUUUUACAUUCAUUCAUAGUGCAGAACUGGCUAAUUAAUGCUCUAGGUUAAAGGUUAUAAUUCUAAACUGAAGAAUACAUGCAGAAAUGAAUGACUACCUAAAUAUCAUUGUUUUUAGGUGAAUUCUUUUUCAGAUCCCUAGCGAUGGGUAUGAACAUUUAGCUGUAUGCAAGUGCUUCCGAAAACAGAGAUGGGAUCUUGCUCUGUCACCCAGGCUGGAGAGCAGUUGCUCAAAUCACUGCAACUGAACCGAGACUUCAACUGUUGGGUUCAAAUGAUCCUCCCCACUCAGCCUCUUGAAUAGCUGGGACAACAGAUGAGAAAGAAGGGAAGGAACUUAUGCAAAGAGUCUCAUGUGGCUGAACAGGAGUCCAAGGAAGCCAUGGAGUUACUGCAAGAUAAAAAUAUAUUUGGCCCAUUCCUCCAAAAACUAAGCAAUAUUCCCAUCUGGAGAGAGAAAGAAGAUCUCACCUAUUGAAAGCAAAUUAUCUUCCUCAAGUCACUUCCUGAAUAUACUGUAGGAAGUUUACUUUCAAAGUUCUCUUCCCUGGAGCAAAUCAGAUUAUUUACAUGUAUUUGCCUGCUCUGAAGAAAAAACACUUGAACACCAGAAGAAAGAAAAUCUGUACUUGCUCAAAGUCAAAAUACCAAAGAAUAAAGAAAGAGGUCUCCUUAGGAGAAAUGAAAAGUUUUGUUCUUCUUGGAAGAAGUCUUCAAAGAUUUUAGAGCAAAAUAUAUACAGGUAUGAGUAUUGGUAUGGACACUAGAAGAUUAAAAAAAGACCUCAAAAAAUAAACAUGUUUUGGCUUUAGUCCCUCAGAGUAAUUAACAUGUUGCUGUAGCUGACAAAAUUUGUGGCCAGAUAGAAACCUGCUAGUUGAAAAAUUUGGAAUCCUGUAGCCUCCCAUCUCUGCCUAAGAUCAAGGCCAAACAUCUGCUCUCCUCCCACUUCCUGAGCCCUCAGCCUGUUUAGAGGAGUCGGGUCAGUUGUCUUGCAGAGAGGGUGCAAAGGUAAGUGGCAGAGGGGCCAAAGCCCAGUGCCAGGCUCAGCUUUCAUAAUGUGCCCUGUGAUGGAUGCUCAGAGUUCAGAACACCCAGCUGGCCAGAGAGAGGCUUUUGGAAACAACAGAGGAUUGACGUUCUUCAGUACUCAUUUUCCAGCAAAGACAAAUAUCUGAUUAUAUAAUAGAGAAGUUAUGUCUUCUGGCACCCAAAGAACUGACCUACAAUGACAAAUGUGCAACUUAUUAAGCAAAUUCCAUUGAGCCUGCAACACAUACUAGUUGUUUUCUCAAGACACGUAGUUGCUUUACCACCAAGAACCCUUUCCUCAAUGGUUCCAGCUGGCAAAACUCACUGUCAUUUCGAUCUAUUGCUUUGUAAUCACACAAACCUUCUCCGUGGGUUUUUCAAAAUUAAACUAAGUUGAUCUGCUCUGAUUUCCCUUUGCUGCCACGAUUCUAGAGACCAUAGAUAAUUGUUUAAGCCCAAAUCCAUAAGGCGAGUUUCUGUUGGAGAAAAACCAGGGAAAGAGUCCUUCCGUGAUGUAUCUUGUAUAUGCUGGCUCCUCUGGGGUGGGUGCAACCUUGUUUGCUUAAUCAGGAUGCACACCCUAAGCAGAGAUGCCUGGUUUUGAUUUAAAUGGGUACAAAAUAUGUUCCCUUUGUUCUGGAGCUCUUACUAAAGCUAGUACAGAAACCUCGGCUCUAUAUGUUAUUGGGGUUUCUCAUUUUCCCACAAAGCACAUGGGAUGGGUGGUCAUGGCAAUGGUGAGCAGGAUCAUUGCGGCGCAUUAAGUUAACUGGCACAAAUCAUUUGUUUGCUGAGGAGGAACAGAAUCAUAUGUGGCAAUACCUUCCCAGGGAGUGUUGCCUCACUGUCAUCACAGACUGAGCUUUGGAGAGACGUAGGAAAGGAUAGCAGUGGCUGACUCCUCUAUGUGUUUUACUUACAUAUAGGUGCAGCAGAGAGAAUAAUCAAUAUCUAUGGUGACAAUUCAUAAGCAAGUCCACAUUUAAAACAUUAAUAUAUAAAAAGCCCCUUUCCCAGCUCUGGUCCCAGUUGCCUAAUUCUCCACCCUUGAAGCAGAGUUUGUUACUCAAAACCUAUUUACAUGAGUAUAAAUAAAUAUCCUUAUUUUAUAUGAGUGGUAGCAUAAUAUACCUACUGUUCUGUACCUCGCUUAUAUCAAA